GAUGAACGCUAGCUACAGGCUUAACACAUGCAAGUCGAGGGACCGGCGCACGGGUGAGUAACACGUAUCCAACCUGCCCUUUACUCGGGGAUAGCCUUUCGAAAGAAAGAUUAAUACCCGAUAUAAAGGAUGGGGAUGCGUUCCAUUAGGUUGUUGGUGAGGUAACGGCCCACCAAGCCUUCGAUGGAUAGGGGUUCUGUGAGGAAGUUGCCCCGCAGUGGAAGUGAGACACGGUCCAAACUACGACGGGAGGAAGCAGUGAUGAAUAUUGGGCAAUGGGGGGUAGCCUGAACCAGCCAAGUAGCGUGAAGGAUGAAGGAUUAUGGGUCGUAAACUUCUUUUAUAUAAGAAUAGGUAUUAUAUGAAUAAGGAUCGGCUAACUCCGUGCCAGCCGCCGCGGUAAUUC
rnacentral:rRNA from 1 species